rnacentral:rRNA from 1 species
CGUAGGGUGCGAGCGUUAAUCGGAAUUACUGGGCGUAAAGCGUGCGCAGGCGGUUAUGCAAGACAGGUGUGAAAUCCCCGGGCUCAACCUGGGAACUGCACUUGUGACUGCAUGACUAGAGUGCGUCAGAGGGAGGUGGAAUUCCGCGUGUAGCAGUGAAAUGCGUAGAGAUGCGGAGGAACACCGAUGGCGAAGGCAGCCUCCUGGGAUGACACUGACGCUCAUGCACGAAAGCGUGGGAGCAAACAGGAUU